GUGGGCUGGAGGCCGAAGGUGAUAGUGCUGGAGACUUAGCUUUGGUCUUGCUAGGGGCCGGAGCUGGAACCGUGGCAGGAGGAGAAGCCAAAGGAGCUGGUGGUGGGGUAGCUGGAGGAGGAGUAGCAGGAGGGGGAGAAGCAGGUGGUGGGGUAGCCGGAGGUGGAGAAGCCGGUGGGGGAGUUGCGGGAGGUGGAGUAGCCGGGGGAGGAGAAGCUGGUGGUGGGGAGCUAACGGGCGGGGGAGUCGCUGGAGGAGGAGUGGAAACUGGUGGUGGUGAUGAAGUAGGAGGAGGAGAGGAAGCUGGUGGCGGAGAAGUAGUUGUGGGUGUUGGAGGUGGUUGAGUAGUAGGUGGAGGUGUGGAAGCGGGUGGAGUCGGCGGCGCCGGCGUGGAUGUCGGAGGAUUACUAGGAGUAGGAGGAGCUUGGCCUAAAACGCCAGCUACAGCAAUGCAAAACAAAGCUGAUAAGAACAAAAACUUAUUAUUAAGCAUCAUAUUGGAAACAAUGGUGACCCUUUAAUCCUGCACACCCUCUCCGCUUAAACUACGCCCAGCCGUGCAAGCAAAUGAGGGAGAAGAAGAGGCAAGUAUGAGAAAUGAAAAGAUGGUGAUAUUUAUAUAUAGGAUAUGGAAAUUUCCAUAUCAUAUUUCAAUUUAAAAUCCCCAAAACAAAUACCAGCAUUUUUAUUUUAUUACUAAUGGGAAAAUUGCAUUACUAAUCAUAUACAAUAUUCUAUAUUAAUUUAGUGUAAUUUAAUUCUUUCAUUUUUUUAUAAUGUUAUUAAUAGGUCCAAAAUCAAUAUCUCCGAUCGUUAGUUGCUGUCAUUAAAGUGAUGAUACGAAAUUAUUUUUUUUACUAUUAUUCCAUCAUACAAUCAGAGAUAUAGAAAUCAAUCAAUUUUGUUAAACAAAUAAUAAAUUUCAAUCUGAGUCAAAUGCUUAAAGUUGUUAAAAAAAAUUCACGUCAUCACUUUAACAACAUCAACUAAUAGCGUUAUCAAUUUGUACUUUGUAGCUACCAAUAACAUUAUAAAAAUAAAGGGUCAAAUUAUAUAGAAGUAAAGGAUUAAAUCUCUAAUUUCAAUUUAGUAAAGGGACUAAAAUGGAAUUAAACCUAUUAGUGGGGGUCGGAGUUUUUUCCUCGUUUGGUGAGGUAAAAAAAAAAAAAAACCCUAGUGGGGCAUAGUUAUAAUGUCACUUUGAUGAUUAUAAAUGAUGCGUUAGUUAGUCAUACUUUAGGUAAAAAACUGUGAGGUGGGAUUAGUGUAGAUUGAAAAUUUUUAGUGAAGGGGUUAAUUUAUACCUUCAAAAUUUUGCAAUAUUUGGUAGUUCCAUGAAAUAUUCCCCGCUAUUUAUCAACUUUUCAAUCACUCAAAUAGGUUUUAAUUUAGUUUUGUUGUGAAAUUUCUAAUUCAAGCAUACAAUGAGUAGAUUUUAUUAUGGGUCGGGUCGGGUUAUUAUAAAAUUUUAGGUGUAACGUCCCGAAUUUUUGGGCCUAGAAGUUAAAAGAUUUAAGCAUAGGGGCAGUAAGGAGGCCACACAUAAGUGAUUAGUUGUGCACUAUAGUGAUAAGAAUGGGCUUAUUAGUCUAGUGGUUAAAUGGAGUGUUAAUUAAGUUCAAGGUUUUUGGUUUGAGUCACUAUGUGUACAUUUUGGGAGUCUUUUUAUUUUGUUUUUUUUUAGUUAGUGAUAAUAAUUAAUUAUUUUAUUUUAUUUUUAUUAUUUUUCUUUUCUUUUCCACGUUAGUUCUCUCUACUUCUUGGUUUUUUUUUCUUUUUGUUCUUUUUCCUUGGACUUUCAAUUUGUGCAUUCUCUAUGUUUUUGAAUCGUUUGCUUACAGAUUUCGAAUUGUCGCACCUCUAUCGUCUUCUUCGUCGUUCAAUCAGGUGAGGGAUUCAAACUUUAACUACAUUGUUUAAUUUUGCAAAGUUUACGUGCGGCUUUUCUUGAAUAUGUGAUAACCCGAAGGUUUUUGGGUUUUGAUCGUUGGAAGUGAGGAAAAUACGUUAUAUUGUGAUAUGUUCUUGAUGUGGUUAAGGUUAGGGACAGUUUGGGUGGCUAAAACGGUGUUUUCGGGGCUAAUUUGGGGUGGUUUCAUGACCUCUCCGGCAGCUACACGGGCGUGUGCCGUGGUAGACAGUCAUAUGGAUUUGGGAACUAGGGUUUCCAGGCCAAAUUGGAUGCCACACGGCCGUGUGGCCGAUUUGGGGAUUUUGUCGAAAUUCACACGGCUGUGUCCCCUAGGCACAUGGGCAUGUGGGUUUGGAAUUAGGGUUUCAGAGAUUUGAAGUCACACAGCCUGGCCAUACGGCUGUGUGGCUGAUUUUGGGAUUUAGGGAUCCCACACGAGUGUGUGUUUCGUAACACACAACCAUGUCUAGUUGGCACACGGGCAUGUGAGACCCUCACAUAGCCGUGUCUGCCCUGCACCUUAUUUUAGCGAAAUUGGACAGUGAGUUACACAGCCUGUUCACACAGUCGUGUCUCUGCUUCGCACGGGCGUGUGCCUAUGUCACAUGGCCGUGUGCUAUCCUUCACAAGGGCGUUUGAAGCCUCACACGAUCUGGAUUGCUCUACACGGCUGAAGCAUACGGGUGUGUAGCCCUAUCUCGCCAAAUAAUGAUUUUAGGUCAAAUUUAAGUGCAAUCGUGACUCUAUGUAUUCCAACCCUCGACUGAGCUCUAGUGAGGGUAUUUACGACGCUGAUCUGAGUUUGGAUAAUGUGUUAAUUGUGAUUGGUUAUGUGACAUGUUUGAUUCUGAACCCGGGUUAGCUGGGUGAGUGUGUAUGCAACUAGUUCUGUCUGACUGUUUGAAUACGUGUCAUUGAUAUGCGAGCUUAUUUUGCAAUUGCUACUGAAUUCAAGUUACGAGUAUACUUAAGACUAAUUUUGUAACUAACUGAUUGGAUGUGAGCGUCUACUUCUGAAUAAUUGUUUGAGACUAGUAUUCUGAUUGUGUACAUCUGACUGCAUACAUACAUACAUAUGCAUAAACUAUUUUGGGCGGGAUUUUUGAAGAGAAGGUGUUGUAGGCCAAUUUUGGGCCCGUUUACACUUUAGGCCGAACAUACAUCAAACCCAUUUACAAUUAAACCCCAGCAUAACCCACAACCCAAACCCAACAAAUAAACCCAAAACCAAACCCAAAUUUAACCCAAUUCAAAUCCCAUAGACCCAAACCCACAUGUAAGCCCAAGUUGUUAGACCCAACUAGCUUGAUUUAGGGUUUCAAAAAAACUGAAACCCUAACCUACCCCCAGCGCCGCCAACGUCACAUCGCCCAUGCCAGUCCACUUGCACUACCUUUGCUCCACUGUUCAACCACCACCUGCAAAACAAAAGAGCACGCAACAGCAGCGCAAAAAUAGGAAAUAGACAGUGUAUGAACAACAAAAUCGGCUAUAAAGCCGAAUGGAAACCAAUGUAAUAGAAAAUAUUUUCGGUUAUUUUCUUCAUCAAUACAAAAAAAUAGAUUUAAACAUAUACAAGCAAUAAUUCGGGGAAAAUCAAAACACUAGAAUAACACCAAUUGGGCAACCAAAACAUCAAUAUCAAAAGCCUAAGGUGAUUUAAAUCUUUUUAUUUUUAUUUAUUUUUGAAUCAUACAUACCUAUGUAUUUUCAUAAAUAGUAUAAUAAAAAGGAAAAUAAAAGAAUAAAAAAAAGAUAGGAAAUUUUUACCUUUUCCGGCCACCGUGCGACGGUGGCACACGGCGGUCCGGCAACCAGACGUGGACGGCGACCGGCCUUGUGGCCGGAAUUCGCCUCUCCUUCUCCCCUCUCUCUUUUUUUUCUUUGCUAUGCAGAAAAUGAAUUUUUUUUGAAGAUUUUGGCCUUUUUAUAGCUUCCUAAAACGACGUCGUUUUGGGGGUUGCCCUUUAACCUCAAAACGACGUCGUUUUGCCCUGGAUCAGGUCGACCCGACCCUACCCACUCAGGAUCUGAGUGUUUUUGCUCUUAGGGGCUAAUUGCGCACGCGGUCCUUCCGCUUUUUCUAUGUUUUUCAAUCAGGUUUUUUAUGUAUUUUAAUUUGGCCCUAUAAUUAGUUGCGCUUUCCAAUUUGGUCCUCAAUGCUAUUGCGCAUUUUGGGUGGAGAGGCUUAUUUCGUUUUAAGUCCCUCCACUAUUUGUGCGCGUUGAAAUAGGUCCCCUUCCCUUCUUUUUAUUUCAGUUUUUGCCCCAAGCCUUUUAUUUUUAAUUCGAUUCGAUCCUUUUUUUAAUUACUUUAUUAUUAAAAUUAAUUAUUUUAGUAUUAUUGUUAUUAGCACUAUUCAUGUACAUAUAUAUUAUCAUUAUUGUUACUAUUACUAUUAUUAAUCUUCAUAUUAUUACUAUUAUUUCUUUAUUUUUAUAUUAUAUUAUAUUAUAUUAUUAGUUUUUACUAUUAUUAGUAUUAGUUUUAGCUUCAAUUAAUAUUUUUAACAUGCAUAUUUAUAUACUUUUAUGUAACAUUAUUAAUAAUUAUUUUUUAAAAUAUUAUUAUUAUUUUUUAAUACAUGCAUAUAUAUUAUGUGUAUAUUCUUUUAAUAGACAUUAUGUAUAUAUAAUUUUAUAUAUUAUUUUUAACUUUACAUUAUGUAUAUAUUGUUAAUAUCAUAUUAUUCAUAUAUUCUAUUAUAUUAUAUAACUAUAUUAUGUAUGUAUUUUUAACACUAUAUUACGUACAUACUUUCAAUAUCAUUAUUAUUAUGUAUAUAUAUUUUUAAUAUAUAUAUGUGUAUAUUUAUGUAGUAUUAUUAAUAGUUGUUUUUAAUAUUAUGAUUAUUUCUAGUAUAUAUAUAUUAUGUAUAUACUUCUAAUACUAUAUAUUGUAUAUUUCUAAUACCAUUAUUAUUUAUAUGUGUAUAUGUGUAUGUAUUUAUGUAUCGUAUUAUAGUUGUUGUUUUUUUUGUAUCAUUAUUGUUGCUAAUAUAUAUAUAUCAUGUAUAUAUGAUUUUUUUUAUAUAUAUUAUGUAUAUAUCUUUAAUAUUAUAUUAUUUAUAUAUUUAUGCUUACAUAUUAUCUUACGUAUAUAUUUUUAAUAACUAUAUUAUGUAUAUACUAUUACUAUAUAUCUAUUUAUGUUGCAUUAUCAAUGGUUGUUUUUACUAUUAUUAUUAUUCUUAAUAUAUAUAUUAUGUAUACAUUUUUAAAUACUAUAUUAUAUACAUAUAUUUUUAAUACCAUAUAUGUACAUAUCAUUAUUAUAUCUAUUUUUACCCCUAUUACAUUUGUUAUUAAUAUUAGUAUAUAUUUUAUUAUACGUGUAUAUAUAUACUUUUUAAUAUAGUAUUAUUUUUAUAUAUCAUUAUAUUUAUUAUUAUACUUAUUAUUUUCGCUAUUGUUACUUAUUAUUUUAUUUUAAUAUUAUUGUGUAUUAUUUGGUAUACAUAUAUCUUUUUGUACAUAUUGUUAUUUUUUAUUAUACGUAUAUUAGUUUAUUAUGGUAUUAAUACAUUUUUACCUUUUUCUUUUAUUGUAAAUAUUAUUUAUUAUUACUCUAAUAUCCUAAUAUUAUAUUAUAAUACUUUUUAUUAAUCAUCUCAUUAUUUUGCAUCGUUUAUUUACUUAUGAAUUUUUGUUAACAUCAUCAGUUUUUUUUUAUCAUUAUUUUAGAAACAUUUUUAUUUUAAUAAAUAAUGCAACGUACCGAUUUUAACAUUAAGUUUGUGAUUUCAUCGCUAUGUUGGGUGAAUCACGUUGGCUCGUGUUAAAAACGGGACAUCCUUCAAAAAAACCAAAAACUUGAAAUUUCUCGUGUCUUGGUCGGAUCAUGAUUAAAUAUUAAAUUAAACUUGUAUUUUUGAAAAUUAAGACAACGCGUAAUUAACAAGAUACUAAUUUUGGGCGUCGUGAGGGUGCUAAUACCUUCCUCGCGUGUAACCGACUCCCGAACUCUAUUUUCCUCUGGAUUUUCACGUAGACCCAAAUUCGGCCUUCAUUUUUGUUCAAGAAUAAAUUUUCUUUUCUAAAAAGAAGAUUUAUUAGGUGUCUGAUCACACCUAGAAAAAAGAUCGGUGGCGACUCCUUUUCUUUUUAAAACCGAAAUUCCAUUUUCAAAUAAUCGCCUCAACUAGCGACCGGAAAGUGAAAUUUUUACGUUGCUACAGAAGGAAGAUUGACUGAACUGAACUGAUAGCUAAUAUGUUGCCCCUAAUACCCAGAGGGUCAUGGGCGGUCCCAAUACCCUGAGGAUCGUGGUUAAUUUGACUGUACUGCGGACUAUCGCACUGUACUGUACAGAACAUACAUCAGCACCGCUGCUAUCAUUGACUAAACUGGCAAUUUUACUGCAACCUAACGAUAUAGCGGUCUACCGCAUUGCAUUGUACCGCAUGUACGUUAGCUACGCUACGUACUAUUAUCUGAUCUGGCAGUUCAUACUGCAUGUCUGUACCGCGGUUCACCGCAUUGCACAGUACAACCUAUACGCUGGCUUUCCUACGUAAUUUACGUGACUAGCAGUUUAUCUGCAUACUGUUAGCCCAAAUUCCCAGAGGGUCGAUGGCAAUCCCAAUACCCUGAGGGUCAUGGACAAUGCUGAUGAUCAUCGUUGUCGGGUAACCCGGGAUGACAUCAUAUGGGGUGUAGGGUUGGAUGGGCUUUGCGAGGUCCUGUAUGGAGUGUUUGGUGGGACAAGCUUAAAGCUUUUAUGAGAAGUGAUGGGGGACGGAGAGGUGUGUUGGCUGGAUAGGUGGAUAUUUUUAGAACUCAUUUGUACUCAUAUGUAUCUGAUUGAUCUGUUUAACUGAAUUGGAACUUGUGAAUGGUUGAGAAUUAUUGCUACUGUGACUGAAUGUGAUACUGUUCGAUUGAGAGGCACUUGUGCCUAUGUGAAUUUUGUAGAUUCUGAUUGCGACUGUCUGACUGGAUUCUUACUGUGACUGAUUAAGAUUUGUUGCUACUCUGUCUGAGUGGUACUUGUGGCUGAGUGUAUCUAACUGAUUGAGUUAAAACUAGUGGCAGAAUAGCACUAUGUUUGUGUAGCUGAGUGUAAUUUUUAAUAUGCAUUAACAAAUAUCUGUCUGUCGGUACGUCCGUUUCGAACGUACCCUUUGGUUCUGAAUAGCUCUGUAAGUAUGUUUUAUUUCUGAACUGCUUUUAGUUCCCUGUUUCUGUCUCUGUAGUUUAACUGGUUUGAUCUCAAACUGAGCUCGAGUAGCUCACCCCCUCUUUCGUUUCCCUUUUCAGGUACAAUUCUGGAUUAUGUUGAUGGACUUGGCACGCGAAGGUCUCAGACAGUCUCGCAAACAAAUAAAUUAUCAGUUUUGUUUUCCGUUACGAUUUUGUUAUUUGGUUAACUUUGAACUGUAAGGCUUUAUAAUACUGUGGUACAGUUUCCAUUUUAGAUUUUCAUGCAUACGUUUAUUUUGGGUUUUAUAUUGAGUCUUACUGUAAAUUUUAUUGACUGAUUAUUAAAUGGUUUUAAACACUUUUGGUUCACUGAGAUGAGUUAUUUUGUAAAAUUUUCCUACGAUCACUUCGGUGAUCAAUGUAGCAUUCCGAAUUCGGUCUAGACUUUUAGGCCGAGUUUGAGGUGUUACAUUAGGUUUAUUUUUUAGGUUCUAAUUUGACUCGAAAAAUAGGUCUAAAAUUUUAACUAAACCCAGUUUAGAUAAAAAUAUUAAACCCAAGUCCAAACGUAUUAAACUUUUUAUAUUAUUAUUUAUAAAAAAACAAAUUUAAAAAAUAUAAUACAUCAAAUACACUAAAAAUAUUAAAAUAGAUGUUUCCUAAUAAAUUGAAAAUACAUUAAAAAAGUUUUUAUACUUAACAAGCAAAUGCCUUUAAAAUAGUAGCAAAAUUAACAAGCCCAUGAUUAGGUCUAAUGAUGAGUUCUUUUGUUAGUAAUGUUUAUUUUGGUAUUUGAGUUUUUUCUGUCUUAAUUUGGUACUUAAUUUUGACUUUAAUUUUUUUCCAAUUAAGCACUUAAGUUUGGCUUCAAUGUUCAAUUUGGUACCUAAUUUUUUUUGUCCAAAUUAAUUACCUAUAUAUUUUUUACCAAAGCAUGUGUGUCAAACAUUUAUUGGAUCAUAUGAUGACAUUUGGCUUAGGUAUCAAAUUGAAUAUCAAAUUCAAACCUAAGUACUAAAUUGAAACAAAAAACACAAAUACUAACUUAAGUAUUAAAGCUAAACUCAAGUAUCAAAUUGUAUAUUAAUCAUUGGUAAACAAAAUUUCAAGGAUUAGCAUCUACUAAGCUUUCAUUUUCCCUUUUGCAUGUUACAAUUGAUAUUUGUUUAACGCAUAAACUUGGUAUCUUUUUUCCCGUAAUGAUCCAUUUUCAACAAUUUUUGUACACCUAUAUUAAAAUCUGAAAUAAUUUGGUUAUCUUCAACAUACAUAAAGCUGUUAUAUUAAAGUUUAUUUAUAGUUGAGAUUUUUAAAGGAUUUUUAUAAGAUAUUUUUUACACAUUCUUUCCAUGACAUUAAGGAGUAGGGAAGAAAACGUGGUAGUGUUAAAAGGAUCAGUUCAUCUAAACAAGCGGAAAGUCAAAAUAAGAAACAAAUUAAGGAGGAGUAGGGGACUCACACAUCCAUAACAUAUGCAUAUGUUAAUAUUAAAAAUUUACACAACGCAAUUGUAAAUGGUGAGACUUGGACUUCGAUACUUAAAGACCCAAGAUAUCGCCUUAACCAAUAAUGUCAACAAGAUCUCAUUAACUUUUUAGGAAUUUUCUUAACUUCACAUAUAGGGAUUAAAAAAUUACGAUAUAACUCAAUAUAAUAUUAAAGAGUAAAAGUUAAUCAAAAUUUACAUAUAUCACUCAUUUAAUCAUAUGUGUACAGAUAAAAGGAAGCCACUCAUCCUCUUGCCAACCCUACGUGUAACAUAAUUCACUAUAAAUUCCACCUACAUAUACAUACAUACAUAAAUAUAAAAGAGAAUUUCAUGGUCUUGGACUAGAUUGGCUACAAAAUUUGACAAACGGCAUGUGUAGGAGGAUUAAAUUCGAUGAAUUGCAUGAGAGUUUCUCCUUUUUGAUAAUUUAGUACAUGAGAGAAUAAUGAUGAUUGUGGGGGGGGGGGGGUGCUCCAUCGAAAUAGCUGGAAUUUAUUUAUUUUAGUGAACUGGCAAAUGUAAUUUGUACGCCAAGUUAUAAGGUGAAAAAGGGAGAAAUCAUAUAGAUUUGGUUGGUAAUGGUAUGUUGAUGUUGGAACACCUGCGGUGCACCGCCACAAUUAGUAGGCCCCUAGCCCCGCUGUCACCCCAUCAUAUGUGCUUUUGGAUGGAUCCAACAUUUUCGUGUUCUUUCAUUCUUCAACAUCAUCAUUAUUAAUUAGUUACUCUUCAAUUUCUAUAUGUAAUUUGCUUUCUUUUCAUUCAUAGGUUUUCUGUUUUCUGUCUUUGAUUUUGUCUUGUGCACAACUGAUGUCCUCCAUUUUUUUCCCCUUUUGUAGAAUUGGGUUUGUCACUUUAAUAGUGCCCGAAAUUAUUUUAUGGAUUUUUUUCAUCAUAUCAUUUAUAAUCUAUUUUUAGUUAUUUAAUGAUAUUUUAGUAAUUUUUUUAUGUUAUUGACACAUAAUUUUACUAAUUUUUUUACCCAGAACCCUCAAUCUUGAGUUUAGAAUCUUGAACCCCGAACCUUGAACCCUAAACUCAAACAUUAAACUCCAAACCUAAACCUUAAAUCUUGAAACCCUCAAGGUUUAGGUUUGAGGUUUAAGUUCAAAUUCAAGUUUGUAGUUCAGGGUUCGAGGUUUGAAAUUUAAGGUUCGGGUUCAGGGUCAGAGUUCAACAUUCAGGAUUCUAGGUUUGGGGUUUAAGAUAAAAAAAAAUUACCAAAAUUAUAUGUCAAUGACAUGAAAAAAAAAUUACUGAAAUGUCAUUAAAUAAUUAGAAAGGGACCAUGGAUGAUGUGGUGGGAAUGGUCCAAAAAUAAUUUCUCAUUUGUAUGGGAUAUUAUUCAUUAUCUAUUAUAAUUUGAUAUCUCUAUUUUUAUAAUAUUAUUAGGGGAAAGGAUUGUAUGAAACAGUGACGCCAUGUCAUCUGUAUCCCUUUCCAAUAAUUUUAUGCCAUAUCAUUACUUUUAUCCUCAAUUUCAGGAUUUUAUCCUGAAAAAAAUCAAAUCCAAAUUAAAAUCCUGAAAUUCAGGAUAAGAAUAUUGAUGUGGCAUAAAACUAUUGGAAAGGGAUACAGAUGACGUGGCGUCACUGUUUCAUACAAUCCUUUCUCUGUCCAAAUUUAUAACAAUGUUGAUUGCUUCACUAAAAUGAGAAGGUCCAAAAGAGUUAGAAGAUGUUAUUGAGAUUAAUAAAGGAGUAAUUUAUUUCGAGAUAGAUUAAUAUAAUUUAUUUGUGUUUUUUAUUUAAAAAAAAAAGUAAAAGGACGUAGUAAAGGAAUUUUCAUGCAUCAAUAAUUUAUUAUUUAAACUAUGAAAUUUCAAAAAAGAAGAAAUUCAUGUUGAAAUUGAUACUAUCAAGCAAUUUAAAAGUGUAAAAAUUUCAGUAUCAGCUGGAUAUUUAAUGUCAAAUAAACUAAAGAAAUGAGAAACACAAGCCAAUUGUCCACAAUGAUUAACUUGUUCCUAAAAAGAAAGUUGUACAUAGACUUUGCUUAUAAAUCAAUCCAAUUUUUUUUUAUAUAAAAGGAAACAUAUUACAUACUUAUAUUGAGUUAUUUGUACCACAACCCACUUAAAUUAUGAUUUUAAUUUUCGAUUGAGUCUUAGUUCAAUUGAUAUUGGCAUUAUUAUCUGUGGAGGAGUGGAUUCAAGUGCGCUGAAACGCAUUAUCCUUCUAUUUAAAUGUUGGGAAGGAACUAUAGAUUCGAAAGCAGAUAUGAUAAGAACCUAUAAUAAAAUUAAUGUAAUGCCUCCUUUUUCCUUUAAAUCCUACUUAAAACACACUUACUUAUUAUUUGCUAAAAUAUUGACAAAUCUAUAAUUUGAAUUCGAACAUUUAUAAUUCAAUCUUGGUCCCUUUAAUACAAAAAAUGUUGGCUUCACCCUUGAUCAAUUUAGUCAUCAAGUUUUUUUUUUUUAACAUAAAUUUCAAUAUAGAUUCUUAUCAUAUUAGCUCUUUUUGAUACAAUGCUUAUAACUAUCCAUAGCCCUUCCCCAAUCAUUAAAUAGUAGGAUAAUACACUUUAACGUAUUCGAAUCCACAUCCUCUUCUACUGACAACAAUGUCAAUCAAUACAAUUUUAAAUACGAGUGUACUACUUAGAUAAUCAUAUCCAAGGUACACAUACUUUUAAAAUUUGAUCCACACACUUUAAAUAUACCCCACCUCUGAUCUAAUCUAGCAUUUAUCACCUAAGCUGACGGUUAGAGGAACAAAAGAACUUGAUUGAUAUAAUAUCAAUAUUUUAUAGACUCAAUCGUACCAUAAUUAUGGACGUUUUCGCUGAGUUAACUCUAUAUCUAAAUAAGUCAUGGUAAACAUUCAAUAUUAAAAAAGAUAAAGGGAAAGUAUAAUAACCCAAAACACCAAAUUUUGGUUGGUUUAAUUUGCAGCUUUAACCAAUGCUUUUGCAUGAUCCAUCAAUUAGUGAGGAUUUUGAUCUUAAUUGGAGGGUCCCAUUCGGUUAUUAAGCUCUUUUUCCACCCUCAUGAUUGCCAUAACAUGGGCCCUUACCGUUUUACUUUGGAUACCCUUUUAUCUUUGCUUUGCUUUGCUUUGAUUUAAGGUUUUAUACAUAAAUGGUCACUUAAACUAUACCUCAAUUUUUAGAUUUGUCCUUAAAGUUUUUUUUUUAUCAAGAGUGGCCCCCACACUAUCAAAUUUAUCUCAUUUUACCCAAAAAGCGUACAAUAUCCAAUAAAAAUAUUUAAAAUGUGACGCGUGUCACAUUCUUAUUGGUUAAUAUCAUUUUUUGAAUAAACAAAAAUAAAAUUAACAGUUUAGCGAUCACUUUGACCAAAUAAAAAAGUUUUAAGGACUACUUUAGGAAUUUAGAUAUAACUUAAGAGUUAUUUUAUUAAUAAAGCUUUGAUUUAUUCAUCAAUUAACACUGAAAGAGUUUUCCUUAAUUUACUCAAAUGGUCUUUUUGUUUGUAUCACCUAACAUUUUGAAGAACAUCCUUUCUCUGUGUACCUCAUACAAUUCGUUAAUACGAAAAUUUUAUGAUUUUUUUAAAAAUAAAUUUAAUUGUCACGUUGCAGGUUACAAAUACUUUUAAAUAAGGGCUUUUUUCAUACAAGAAUACCAAUUAAAAAAUAUCUUCAAAGGUAUAUCAGUUAUACUCAGAUCAAAAUGUUUAAACUUAAUUUAUCUAAUUUCUUCGGCAGGGACCUAACCCAAAAUUGGUAAAAUUAAAAUUAGAUCUUUAUAAUUUUGAAGCAUUAAAAUUGAAUUUUUUUUAAAUUGUAAAAUUAUAAAUUUAGCCCCUAAAAAAAUUAUAAUUCAACUUCAGCCUCUAAAAUUUUUUCCUCUAACUUCAUCUCCCCAUAAUUCAAUAUAUUUAAAAAAAUUUGUGACUGACAUUACCAACAAAAAAUAUAUUUAUAAUUAGUAUUUAAUAUACAAUUAAUGAAAUGUUUUAAUUCUAUAAGCAAUGUUCAAAAUUUUCAUAUAUCUCAAUUUUUAAUAUUUUUUUUAUUAAAUCAUGAAUGAAAUAUAUAUUACCUUUCAGAUUUUACUUGUAGAGUCUAAUAACUAUAUGACGCAUUAAAUCAUUAUACAUAUAUAAGGUCAAGUGGUCCAUAGGUAGCUUAGAGUACAAGGGAUUAAGUUGAGGGUCUCUUAUCAUUUUCCCCAAAUGUGAAGUGAUGUUAACUGCUUAGCUUUCUCCUCUUGCCCCAUUCAUUUUCCUUCCUUUCCACAAUAUAUAUUGUAUAAGUAUUUAUGGGUAAUCGAUUGAGUAUUUACUCGAUUAAUAUGAGUAUUAAUGUCAAUAGAGGAGGACGUAGAUUUGGCGCAUUAUUCUUCUAAUCAUGGGUUGAGAGGCUAUGAGUAGUUUUAAAUAUUAUGUCCAAAAAAAACAGAUAUGAUUAGAACCUAUAAUAAGAUUAUUUAAAAAAAUAUUUAUGGGUAAUCAGUUUAUACAAUUUCGAUUAAAUGUAUAAAUCCAAUCAUUAAUCAUUAAAUUGUUUUACUUUAUGCCAUAGUAUUGUUUUAACUGCAUAAGCAUGUGGGUUAAUGAAAACUACUUAUAGUAUCUCAAUUAAAUGUAAUCAACAACCUCAACUCAUAUCUCCCAUCUCUCUCACUCUCAAUUAUAUAACCUAUUAAUAAUUAACAUUAAUAACCCACUUUCAAGUAGAUCUCAGGCUACCUGCCAUGCCAAGCCUAAAGCUUAUAAGAUGCUUGAAAAGGUUUGCACAAAUAUACAAGAAUAAGUAGGAUAAUGGUUUGGGCAAAAAUUAAGCUUAAUUAUUUAAAUUAUAGAUUAAAUUUAUCGAUAAAUCAUGUUAAGCGUAAUGAUAAGAUAUAUUAUACUCUUAAGAAAAGAAUGUAGAUUCAAAUACUAGAAACGAUAUUGUUAGGAAAAGUAAUCACAAAUCUCAAACAUGAAUCAUAAAAUAAACAUAUAAAAUACUAAAAAAAAUCGAAUUUAAACUCAUUUAAAAUUGUUGAAACAUGGAUAAUUUAACUCAAUAUUGCAACAGGAAUUUCGAUAUAGUUUCUAUAAAAUUUAGUGUUACAAUAUGAUUUCCCAUAGAAGUGUGAUAAAAUCAAUAAUGUUGACUUGUAUUAUUGCAUUAAGUAGUGCAUGAAAUGUAGGAUUCUAUUGUAAAAGAGAAUUAGAUAAAAUUGUAUAAAGUGCAUACUAAAAACUGUUUUGGAGGCUUUAAAGAAUUCUAUUCGCUUAAAAGGUAAGAGUCUACUUCAUCAGCUAAGGUUUACAAUGUAGGGUAAGUGUUCAAUCGAAUUAAGUGAAAAAAUUUUGAGUUUAUCGAGUUGAUGAGUCCUAUUUUAUCAUACUAACUUGAUUUGAAAUUUUCUCGAAUCGAGUCGAGUAAAAUGAAAUUCAAGCCAAAUCAAAUCAAGUGAAAUUAUUUGAGUUAAAUUAAAAAAUUAAACAUGUCAAAUUAAAAUCUUGUUAUAGUAUAACUAAUUUUAUGUUAGAGCACAUAAAUUUGAAAUCACAUAUAUUUGAAAACUUUUUCAAAGUAAAAUAAGAAAAAAAAUAAUUUAAUAUAAUAAACUUAAAUUAUUAAUUAACUUUUAUUUAAGUCCCCAAAAUUAUUAUUUUAAAAAAAAUUAAAUUUUUAACUUUCUUUAUAUACUUUAUAAUUUUUUUAAAAAAAUAUAAAAUUUGGAAUUUUUAUAAAUAUUUUGAAUUUUAAAAAUUAUUAUGAAAAUUUUGAAAUUUAUUUUGUAUUUUUUGUUGAAAGAGAUCAAUUUGCUUUUUUUUUUAAAAUUAAUAGGGACCAAAAGGGGUAUUUAUACCAAUCUAUUAUUCGAGUUAUUCGAAUUGUAAAAUUCAACUUGACUUGAACUCAGAACUCGAAUUACUUAUUCGAUUUAAUUCGAAAAAAUUGAAUAAGAUUCAAUUAACUUAGAAUUCGAUUUUUAUUUUAUUUUUUUGAUCAAAUCGAGUUUUGUUCACCCCUAAUAACUUGUUAGCAACUUAUGCAAGAAUUUUUUAAUUUUAAAAUAAAAGCUAAUAAGAUUAUUUUAUCUUGAUAUUAAAUGCUAUUUAUACAACAUAUAAAAGAUGGUGGAUACACACAGUUGGGGUAGACUUUUUGAGUGUUUCAUUUUUCGGGUUGAGGGAAUAUUUUGCAAGGUAAAUACACCUUGAUACCCUAGGUAUUAUUUGGAGAAUUUUAUUCACUUGUAUGCAAAGAUGUUUGCAAUAUGUGAUAAUAUUUUGGGAGAUUGGAUGCAAACAAUUGCAUACUAGUGAAACUACUUUUUAUCUACAUUUUGCAAGAUAGAUACAUUAUAAUUAGAGGUGUCCAUAAGUCGGAUUGGAUCCAAUCAAAAUUUUAUACCCAUUUGUCAGGCUAAAAAUAUUAAAAUUCGAGUCCCAUCUGGCCCGUUCGUAUUAAUUUUUUUAUAUAAUUUUUUAAAAUAUAUAUAAUACAUCAACAAUACUAAAAACAUUAAAAUAAAUGUUAAAAACAUUAAAAUAAAUGUUCCCCAACAAAUUGAAAAUAAAUUUACAAAUUGAUUAAUAAAUUUUAAAAAAAUAUGUAUACUUAAAUAACACUAAGAUAUGUAUAACUUAACAAGCAAAUACCUCUAGAAUAGUAACAAAAUUAAAAAUAAAACAACAGUAAUACAAUAUCCAAAUAAUAACAAUAAAAUAGUAGCAAUAUAAUUGUGAAAUGGUAGCAAAAUAAUGAAAAAGAAGAAGAAAAAAAAGAAAAAAAUUACAAUUCUUUUAUUUUGCAUAUUCGGGUCGGCUAUUUUCUAAACGGACCUUAUUUUUCAGCCAAAAAAGUCUUACCUGAGGCUCAACCCGUUUUCUAAACAAGCCUUAUUUUUUUGCCUAAACACAUUUUUCGGGCCUAUAUUUUUAUCCAAACCCUCCCACUUUUCAGGUCGGGCCACAUGUACAGGUUUAACCAUGAUAUAUUAGGUAUUAUUAUAAACUACUAAAUACUAAAUAAAAAAUAACAUUUAAAAUUAAAAAAAUGAAAAGAAAAAAAAACUUAAAUGAAUAUAUACAAUGUAACAAGGUACAUAAACCUACAUUGUGACAAGUGUCGCAACUUUAUUUUUUUAUUUAAUUUCUAUAUUGUUUAUCUAUUAAAUAAAAUUAAAAUAAUUUAAACACAAUUUUAUCUUAAUGUAUUACAAAAUUUAAUUAAAAUAAAUGAAAAUUGUUAUUUGGAAUAUAUGGAUUUUAAAAAUAAUAAUAAUUUUCAUUUAAAUAAAUUUUACAAAUAAUAUAUAAUGCUGAUUAUAUAGUUUUAAAUAAUAUUUUAAUAUAUGAAUUGUUAUCUACAUAUUUAUUUAAAUAUAUUACAAGAAUUAAAACUAUUUAAUAACAUAUUCAUCAUAAAAUAAAACGAGAAUUAUAAAUUAUUAUUAUUAUUAUUUUAAAAUAUUUAUUUAAAUAAAACUAUAUGAGCAUAGGUUGUAACAUUCUACAUAUUUAUAUAGGUAAACCAUCAUGAUAAAAACUAUUAUCAUAAAAUUUUGCACUUUUUAUUAUAUGAUAUGUAUAAAAUAGUUCAAUUAGAUAUGAUUAAUAAUAAUAUUUAUGCUCAUAAAAUUAUCAAAUUAUAUAUUACAAUGUAUUUAUAAUGGCUCAAAUAUUAAAUAAUGGUUUACGGGUUGUAAUAUAUAAUAGUUCAAACAUAUUAUAAAUUUGAAAUAUAAUAUAUAUUAUAUUGAAUUAUUAUUAAUAGUAGAUAAUACUGUUAUAAUAAUUUAUAGUAGUAAAAGUAAAGGGUGAGCUAACAAUUCAGUGUGUAACUCAAUCCAAACAAUCAGCACAAAUACAGAUACAGUAACAAAGAUGAAUAUAGAUACAGAUAUAAAUCCUACUUCAUCCACUACACACCAUAUUUGUUCAUCCCUAGACAUCAAUUAGAGUAUUAAAUACUCAUGCAACCUUACCCACCUAGAAGUGAGCGUAUGUCACUUUUCAGAACAGUGCAAUCAAGCUACCAGAAAUAAUGUAAUAAUCCGCCAGAAUUAGAUAAGUGUGGUCAAGCCAUCAGAACAAAUAUGUGGUUUAAACCACCAGAUAAGACAGAUCAUUAAAUUGUUAACACUUCCUCCAUCAUAUUAUUAUCCCACCUUAAUGCAUAUGCAAACAUUAAUCAGGUAACAAAUGCAUAUAUAUCAUACACGCUAUACGUAUCAGAAUAUACUAUCAUGCUUUUAGAAAUUGCACAAACAGAAUAUUAGAUUUCAUAUCUAUAAGUCAUACAUAACACAUUAUGAAACCUACAAAGUGGCUAAUCUCGAAUCGUACUUUAAAUACGGCCUAACUAAAUUUUAUAGAAAAUGAGCACACAUGCCCAUGUGACCCACACGGUCUGGCACACGGCCUCACACAUACUCAUGUGGCCCACAUGACCCACUUAACUUAGCCCAUGUGGCUCACAUGGUCGUGUGAUUUACACGGUCUGGCACACGGCCAUGUGGUGUCGACAAUGAAUUUUUUGGCUUCGCAUCGUUCAUUGUUUUUCGAGAUUAUCAUUACAGACUUGGUCGUUUUUCGAUACUAACACCACGAAAAAGAUUCCAGAACUUAAAACAACAUUUAACACGAACAAUUUAGCAACGAUACACUAAAUAUAAUCCAUUAAUUCAACCACAACCACUAACAUUAGGCCUUAACAAGCUGGAAAUCAGUCUUUUGGGCAUUCGAUUACUUACCCAGAACAGUAGUGACAGUCCUAAAAAUCUCCUAAUUCACUAGAAGGAUGUCACAUGCCUCACAAACUUCUCCUAUUGAAACAUCAAAACAAUCAAAAAAAUGAAUAUUGCAUAAUACUACAACCCCUAUUCGUCAUACGGAAACGAAUUAACCUUACCGAAGAAUGCACUUACAAGACUUACACUUAAACAAAAAUAUGAAUUCUUUGCUCGAACACGGCGCUACGGUGAUUACAUGCAAGAAAAUCAAUACCACAAGGAUUUAAACAUUGGACCUCUAGGUAAGCUGAAGUUUUACCACUAAAUCAACAAGCUCAUUCUUAUCAUUAAUUUAGCAAAAAUAAUAUAUAAGCUUAAUAUCCAAAGUCGGUGGUUGGGACAAAAAUAACAAAAAUUUAAAUGAAAGAAUUUGAACCUAGAACAUCACACACACUAACACAACACAUAACCAAUAAACUAAAUUAAUCACUUUAACAAUAUUUAACAAUUCAAAAAUAAGAAUUUUGAGACGUUGCUAAAUUGUAUCAUAUAUCAUAUAUCAAACUUACGAUACAUCAUUCAUAAAAAUUAUAACAAACUUACGAAAGGAUUUAAUGAUAUUUAAUUCUUAACGGGUAAAAACUUAUAUCAUAUAUCAUAUAUAUUUAUAUAUUAAGAAUUUGAAUCAUUAAUUAUAUAUCUAUAUAUUAUAAUAGUUUCAUCUUUCAAAUUUUCUUCCUCAUAAUUAAAGCAUAAGUUAUAUUUAUAAUAUCAUAAAUAUAUUAUAUUUCAAAAAUUUACACACAUAAUCAACCUAUACAUCGCUCGUGAUAAGAAAACUAAUUUAUAAAUAUGAAUGUACAAAAUUCGAGCUAAAUCUAGCUUCAAUUUUCCGGUGAACUUCUUUUGACUUUAAAUCUUACUUUUUCUUCUUCUUUUUGGCAAAAUAACUUAUUUGGCACAAAAACAAAAGUCGUUUUAACUUUUUUUUUCACCAUUUUUUAGCAUUUAAACUUGCAUUUUUUUGUUAAAUCACUCCAAAAUGAAUGGAAAAGUUAACAUUUUUAACUUUGCUGAUGUUUCGUACAUGUGGAUAACACAUCAACAUUUAAUAAAUCUUAAAAAAAUUAUAAAAACUAUUUUUAAAAUUUAAAAUAUUAAUAUUAUAAAAAAAUAUAAAUAUUUUUAAAAAUUAAUUAAAUGCUGAUGGGUCAUCUACGUAGCAAUCCAUAUGUAUGUCAUGUCAACAAAGUUAACAAAUAUUAAUAUUUUCAUCCAUUUUAGGAUGAUUUAACAAAAUAUAUAAAUUUAAAGACUAAAGAUGCGAAAAUAAUUAUAAGACCAAAAUGACUUUUUUUUUUAAUUGAAGGACGAAAUAAAUGAUUAUGUAAAGUUGUGAAUAUUAAUAUUACCAUAACAAUCAUAAUUCGCUUAUGGUUUAUUCAUUUUUAGGGUUUUCCUUACUAGGAGUCUAGGAUACUUGAAGGCAGAUAUUAUUAUUAUUAUUAUUAUUAUUAUUAUUAUUAAAUUUAAACAUAUUUUUUUAAUUAAGGAACAAUAAUUUGGUCCGGGUCGGUCCUUGGACAGUAUUGUAAUUUCCCAAGUUAUUAACAUUUGUUUAGGGUUUCUCAUAGUUAAGAAUUAAGUGGGCUAAUUUCCCAACUUAGAUUUGAUGAUACGAUUAAAAAAUAGGAAAUAUCAAAAUAUGAUCAUAUGAAUUAUUAAUACUAGUUUUUUUUUAUCUGAGUAAAUAGAUAAUUACUUGAAUCAAUUUAAUAAAAAUUAAUAUACUAAAAAAUACAAUUCCAUCAUUUUAAUAGUUUAUAUAUUUAUAAUUUUUAAAGAAUUAAAUUAAUAUUUUAUCAUUUUAGGGAGUUAAAAUUUAAUUUUACUAUUAUUAAUUUAAAAUUUUAUAAAUUAUAUGUACAUACCCAAUUUUGCCAAACCCAAAUACAUUUCAAACCCUUACUAACCCAAGUCUGUUUACAAUAUUUUCAGCCCAAUUAGCCUAACCCAAGUACUACUAGCCCAAUACCCUAAAUUAACCUAGCCCAGCAGCCCAAAACAAAUUAGCAGAGAGGAAACCCUAAUUCCACUUGCCUCCUUACUUGCGCCGCACGCUCUUCUGCCCUUGGCUACCACGCCCCACUUUCUUCUGACACCAGCACUGGCCACCUGCUCCACCAUGCCUCUGCCACCGCCGUUCGCCCAUACCCUGCAAAAUGAAACAAAUGCCAAGACAGAAGCAGACAGCACAAGCAGUAACAGAGAAUAAAACAAACAAUACUUUAAUAUGGGAAUCGGCUAUAAAGCCGAAAUGGAAAAUCUGUAAAAGGGGGGAUUUUUGCUAUGAAAACAAAGAUUUUCUUUCAAUUUUAACAGAUUGAAUACAAGAACCAUUCGAAAAUACAUAUACAAUCAGGGGCUCUAACACCAAAUCGGAGAAUCAAAUCUAAAACCUAAGGUGACUUUUCUUUCAUUUUUUCUUUACUAUUUUGAGUUUGUUUUUUACACAAAAAUACUAAAAAAAAUAACAAAACACAUAAAAACAUAUAUAUUAUUAAGCAAAAAAAAAGAAAAGAAAAUUUACCUUUUCCGGCCACCGUGCACGGUGGCCGACGCCGACGAGUCUCCGGUAACCGUCCGGCGACCGGACCCCUGGCCGGAGUCCCACCGAAAAUCGCCCUCUCCCUCUCCCUCUCCCUUUCUUUUCUUUUUUUUCCUUUCCCCAUCCCCAAAUGAAUUUUUUUUUAAUUUUUAACUUAUAUAGGGGACCAAAACGUCCCCCCCUUUAAUAAAUAAAACGACGUCGUUUUGGACGCGGGUCGGGUCGACCCAACCCGCACCAGGGCAGGAUCCGCGUGUUUCUUAGCGGAAGGGAAAUUUGCGUGCUCGGCCUUUCCGCUUUUCUGAGAUUUCACAAUUACGUUUUUUAUGUUUUGUAAUUCGGCCCUAGAAUUUUUCAUCGUUUUCAAUCUGGUCUCCGUGCUGCGCAACGUUUAGAUAGUUGGGAUUAUUUUCAAUUUUGGUCCCUCCAGGUUGCGCGUGCCUCACAUUUUGAUCCCUCCUCUUUGUUUCCUUUUUAAAUUGACCCCACAACAUUGUUUUUAAUUUAAUUUUAGUCCUUUUUCGUUAUUUUUAUUUCCUUAUUAAAUACUCUUAUUAUUUUUAUAUUAUUAAUUUUAUUAUGUAUUAGUUUAUGUUUUAUUAUACAAUUAUAUAUUUAUAAUAUGUAUACACGCUUAAUAUAUUUGUAUAUACUUAUAUAAUAUUAGUACUAAAAGUUUUUAUUUUAAUAUGUAUAUAUUACCUAAAUGUUUAAAAUUAUAUAUGUACGUAUAUUCUUCAUUAUGUUCUUAAUACUAUACUUUACAUAUAUCGUACAUUUUUGUUUCAAGUUUGCUUUCAUGUAUUGUUUAGUCAAAAUUGUUUUAUUACUCAUUUUAAAAUUGUUUCACAUACUUUGCUUUAAACAUUAUAUCUCUUUCAUAUUAUGCACGUCAUUUUUAACUCUAUAUUGUAUAUCACAAUCUCAUAUAUUAUGUAUGUACUUCUCAUAUUAUUAGUUAUGUAUAUAUUCUUUACAUUAUCUUAUGUACAUAUAUUUUUCAUAUUAUAUUAUAUACCUAUCCUUUUGAUACCAUGUUGUAUAUAUUUUCAAUACUAUAUUACAAAAAUUUUUACCAUAUUAUGUAUGUUAUGUAUAUACGUUUUAAUGUUUUUGUAUUAUCUUAUAUGUAUAUUUUAAUAACUAUAUGAGGUAUGUAUUUUUAACACCGUAUUAUGUACAUAACUUUCAACAUCAUUGUAUACACACUUUUUAAUACUAUGUUAUUUAUACGUUUUUAUAGGUAUCGUGUACAUGCUCUAAAUACCAUCAUGUAUAUAGUUUUUUAUUGUUACUAUUAUGUAUACAUAUAUAUAGUAUCAUUAAUAGUUCUAAUAUCAUGCUCCCAUCACUUUGCUAACUAUUAUUAUAUGUUUGUAUAUAUUAAUUCUUAUUUCGCGUUUAAUACUAUUGUUAACAUAUUUAAUAUCGCAUAUAUGGCCAUUGUUUUAAUAUUCUCGUCGUAUUUAUCAUUUAUUUCAACAUAUUUCUAGCCCUUCCAUUUGUUCACUUUUAUUUCAUAUCAAUUUUGCUUGGCAUUUCUUCGAAAAUCUUAUUCUCGUUUUCUAAUUAAUUUCAAUAAUCGAGGCAACAUAUCGACUUAACAUUAAGUCAUCGAGUUCAUCGCUAUGUUGGGUGAACGUCAAUUGACACGUGUUAAAGCGAUAUACCCUUCUCAAAAAACGGAAUAAACUAAAAUUUCUCGUUUUUUAAUCGGAUCACGACUAAAUUUUACAUUGAACCCGAAUUUUUAAAAAUCAAGACAACCUGUGUUUAUGAGAUACCAAUUUUUGGGCGUCGCGAGGGUGCUAAUACCUUCCUCGCGUGUAACCGACUCCCGAACCUUAAUUUUUCUCUGGCUUUUAACGUAGACCUAAACUCAGUCUUUUUCUCGUUUUUAAAGAAAAAAGAAAUUUAUUAGGUGUUCGAUCACACCUAGGAAAAAGGAUCGGUGGCGACUCCCCCUUUUAUUUCAAAAUCGAACUUCAGUUUCCAAACUUUUUCACUAGAUCGCCACAAUUAGCGACCCCGAAACCAAUUUUUACGUCGCUACAUUAUAAAUGAGACUAAAUAGAAAAUUUUCUAUUUUAAGAAGGCUCAAAGACCUUGCCAGCCUCCUUGACUUCACCAUUGAAAUCUAGAAUAUACUCCUCACUAUGCUUUGGAAAAUUAAAGAUUUGAAAUUAUAUUAUUGUGUAAUAGAUAUAAUUAAUUUUUAAAUAUAUAAAUAAAGUUAAAGUUAAAAUUAAAUCACUGUGAUAAAUUGUAUAGAAUAUAGAUGAUUUAAGACAUGAUGCAAAUAAAACAUAGUUAAAUAAUUAAUAUAUAGCAUGCCAUAAUAAUAAAGGUGAAUCUAGAGGGUUCACAGGGCUUGAUUCUCCUAAAAUAGAAAAUUAUUAUUUAGAUUUUUUUAAAAAAUUUAAAAUUUUAAAUUAAUAAAAAUAAAAUUGUACUUUGAUUUCCCUAAAAUUAUAAAUUUUUUAUUCAAUCCUUUUAAAAAUUAUAAAGAUAUAAACUAUUAAAAAUUAAAUUUUCAUUUGGCCCCCUAAAAAAAUAUUCUGGCUUCGCCCCUGCAUGAUAAUAAUAUUAAUACAACACAAAUACACAAAAAAAUCAAAAUCUAUACAUAACAAUUAUUUACUUGUAUAAUUUUAUAAUAUUUUGAAUACAAAGAAAUAACACAAACAAUUUUCUCUAAAUUGAAUCACUCAAAUAAAAUAUUUUAAAUAUCUCAUGAUUUUAAAAUAUACUAUAAGGAUAAUUUUUUAAAAAUAAUUUAUUAUGAUAAAUCAUAUAAAUUAAAUAAAGAAACAAUACUAAUCCAACAUAAAAGAAAUGUAAUAAUAAUAUCAUAAAAAAUAUGUUCUUAGUUAAUGAUUUAGUCUGUACUUUGAGAAUUAGAGAAAACUCGAGUUCGAGAUUCAAUUAUAUAUGAGAAAAGUAUUAACAACCUCACAAUAACUUAAUACAUGUUGUUUUAAAAUUUUGAACCCAGUAUUUAAAUAUGAUCCCGUAAAAUUUAAGAAUGCAUGAAAUUUAUUAAUUAAGUGAAUUUGAUUUUGGAAAUAAACAAAAUACUCAAUUUAAUUUUAUUAUAUUUUUUAAAAUUUACUCACAUUAUAACAUUAAGAACAACAAAUGAGAGCGUAUCCAGUAAUUUUGGCAACAAUCUCUUUAAUUUUCGUAAUGCUAAAAUAUUACCUUUUUUUUUAAAAUUAAAUCGAUGUAAAGAAAUUCAUAGGUGCAUUUUCAUAUAAAUAAUUGAAUUAUUCAAAAUUACAUGCAUUUAGAGAUAAAUAUUUUACCCAGCACUACGCUUGUUCGACUCGUAAAAGGCAAAAAUUAGGAUUCAAAAUUAAAUUAUAAUUUUUAUGAUAAUAAAAAUUACUUAGGACAUCAUGUUCUCAAAAACUCAAACCUUUAUCAACAUAGAAUUGAAUCGAAUAUCGUUUUCAUCUUCCCAAGUUUCUAUACAUAAACUAUGAACACGGAAUUAAACAAUACAAAAAUGGUAUUCUUCUUCCAUUGACAUUUGAUAUCAGCUUCAGAAAAGGCAAAAGACAAGAAUAAAGAGAUAAAACAAAAGAUUAAAUCAAUCCUAUAUCCUUGACUGACAUAAUUUACCUUAAAAACUCUAUACUUUAACCAAUCCCACCUAUAUGAUUUUUCUGUUUUCCUAUACAUAACUUAAAGCUUACUUGGAACCAAGUCAUUGUAUUGUAUUUCAUGUAAUUUUUUGAAGCAGAUCCUCAUCUCCUCCAUCUGCAUUGAAGGAAUAGAUGUCGACCGGGGCCACCGUGCAACCCAUGGCAUUCUGCUUGGUUCUUUUAUUACAAAAGGAGCCUCGGUGUUUGUCUAGAUAGAUUACAAUCACGGUGAUAUCGUCGUGAAAAUGGCGCCUUAUCCCCUUUUUUAUUUUCUUGAUGUCACUGUAUCUCAUCUCCCUUUUCUUUGCAACUUCUUGAAGUACAGCUCUUACCAAUCUCCUGGCAAUACCCUGCAAGCAUUCAAGCAAACAAAUAUCAAUAAUGAAAUGCAUUGCAUUUCCAUAGGUUUCAUUAGGUUAAUGGAAGAACACGAAUACUCACGGCUCUCGGGUUUUUGAAAACGAUGUUUACAGCAGCUUCAUCACUCAACUGCUCCCAUAGGCCGUCUGAUGCAAAGAUGAGGAAUUGAUCCUGUGGCUUAAGCUUUCUAAUAAGGAUCGUUCUGCUGUAAUAACCGGCCUUUUAAGAGGAACAGGGUUUCCGAACUGCUGGAAGAUCGGAUCUCUAUAAAACUCAGGUUUCUUCAGGUAAACAUCACCUAUAGAUCUUGACACCUGAAAUAAGAAAAACAAAAAUGGCUUAGACCAGCAUGAUCACUCACAUGCUCAAAGAUCAUGUAUUAAUCAAUCAUCUCCAGUUCUACAAUCCAAUGUAAGAUAAAAGCUAAUGCAUCUUAUUCUCUCGAUUCGUGAAUGGAUCGAAGUAAAAAGCUCAACUUGCCUACCAAAGUAAAGGGGAACAACAUCACAAAAAGAGAAGAAAAACAUAAAAACGAGAGAGCAUCGAUUCCUUGCAGUUACAUAAGCCUAGCUUUAUGCUUCAGGGGCCUGCAUUUGUCCAUCUCAUGCAUAUAAGGCAUACUAUAUGGAAAAUAGCAGCAUGAAACAGUACUGGAAAUCAGACCAAAAUAUUCUUGGAAAAGUCGAAAAACUCAGAAUUAUAACCAUUUUUUAGAAUGAACUUCCAUUCUAAUGCACAAUGUAUACAUCCAUAAUUAUACCUCUCCAUCAAGCAAAAAGAAACAAAAUGGUUGCAAGCAAUGCCUACGAAGAGGAAGUUAAUUGGCAACUAAUUCUAGAAUCAACAUAUUGAUCAUUUCUCAAGCAGACUAGUUUUGAACUAAACGAUUAUAAAUCAACUUGUCAAUAAAAUUGUACCUGGAUUAUGCCCUUAAUCUUCCAAACUCCGCGGGUGUAAACGACUAUAUGUGAGUCAUCUGGAUGAAGUUCCUCGACCUCCUUUCGAACUUCCUCGACUCCAACAUUAUGAUCAGUUGACAACCUCUCUGCCACUACUGUGUUUUCCUUAUCCCCCGAAGCUUUCCUGCCAAGAACAGCUCUCGAGUCACCGAGAUUCGCCACGUAUAACACAUCAUUCGAAAUUGCACCAACUAGACAGCAUGAUCCAACCGAAGCAAUUUGAGGCCUCACGGACAAUGAUCGCUUCACCAAACGCAAAAACUCCUCUUCAGUGGCAUUGAAUGCCUUCUUUAUCACAUCUGCAGAUAAUCCCCCUUGUUCUGUAGCAAAUUCUACAAUGAAUAAAGAAAAAAAAAUUUAAGGGUCUCCAUCAAUCUUUUUUAGAAUCCAAGUGCAUGCUUAUCACUGAAAAGUGUGCAAAACAAAGAAAAAUAAAUGACCUGAAAAAUGCCAAAACUUGAACUACACUUACUAAUUAUUCCGAAAAAUUCAAGUCCAGACAACCCCAAGUAGAUACAAAUUUAGACAAAUAGUUCAUAUUCUCUUUUCCCAUCAAAACAUAGUGCUACAUGACUGUGGAGCGGGGCAAGAUAGAUAUUGUCAAAUUCAUUACUGUUCCAUUGCUGGCAUGAUCUGCCUCGACCCCACUCUGCUUCGCCAUAAAUGUUAAAACUUGAAUAUCAUUACUUUUAAUAUGCAUAAUCUAUCAAUACCUCACCUAAUAUAUACAUUUUUACUCGUUUUAAAAGUUAAAUAUAUAAGAAUAGAGCAAAUAUCAAAAUUAAGUGCCCCAUUGGUCCCUCUUUUACUGUUAAAAAUUAGAAAAAGAAAGUCUAUUUGGAGUCAUCAGUUCGAAAUCUAUCAAACUAAAUACAUAUUUGAUGAUUCCAUAGACAACUUAUGAUUUUCCUGACAAGGUCAUAUCUAUAUACAUACAUGAUCACAUGUUCAUUCAUGUCAUACAUACAUAGGAAUGUUGAAAUAAAGAGGGAAAAAGGGAAUUACUGUGGAGAAAAGGGAAGAGAUGUUUGUUAACAAAACGGGAAGCUUCCGGACCGCCAUGACCAUCGUAGACGCCAACGUAGGUAGCAAAAGGAGAGGUGAAGACUUGGCUUUGAUCUUCGAGACAGUUGUUAGCCUGCACGACGGCGAUGGAGAAAUCACCGGAAGCGUGGGGUUUAAGGUCAGCGUGCCACAUGAGAGCAUCCCCACCAGCUCUAACGCCAAGACAACGUUCGAGCGGCCUGGAAAGGGACCGUAACAUCAUCAUCAUCGUGUUUAAAAAAUAAUAAUAAUCCCUUUAUAGGGGAUUUGAUUAAAUGAAAACCUUUUCGAUGGUUUCAAUGGGGGGUUUCACUUUGGGGGAGAGGAAAAUGGAAAGAUAUUAAGAGGGAAAGAGAGAGUAGAGAGUGGGGUAAAGUGAAUGGAAAAGAAAUGCCGCGUAAAGAGAGGCAGAUGAUGAUGACCAACGACCCCCGAUGCUUGCUGUAAUUACUUCCCACUCUACGCGUUAACCACCCUUUUUCUUCUUUUUUGACUUUUAAACCCAAAUCCUUUUCUUUUAUUUUUAAUUUAUUGAAUGGAGACACUUAGGUCUAAUUUAAUAUUUCAAUUUUUAAAGAAUCGUAUCAGUGAUUGAAUUAUGUAUCUACUUAUUCUCGAUUUAAUCGGUUAGUUUAGCUCAAUUUAGGCCUGUUCAGAUUAUUCAACUUAAAAAUUUGUUCGAAAAGUGAGAUGAUUUAGGUAAAAAUAUAUGUUUAAAAAAUAAAUUUUAAUAAAAAAAUAAGGUAUAUUUUUUAAAUAGAUUGAGUCUUAAUAUUUUUUUGUUCAGGCUCAACUUGAUCUGGCUCAAAUUUGUAAAAAAAAAAAAUGUUGUUACUUUGUCAUUGUUUUACUGUCAUUUCGCUAUUAUAUUAUUACUAUUUUAUUGUUUUUGUUUAGAUAUUGUAUAAUUAUUUUUUUAUUGUUGAUUUGGCUACUAUUUUAGAACCAUUUGCUUACUAAGUUGCACUUAUAUCUUGGUGUUAGUUAAGUAUAAAUAUCUUUUAAAAAUUUGUUUUCAAUUUAUUGGGAAACAUUUAUUGCUCCAACUGACCUAUGGAUAGCUCUAGUUCAAUCCUUUUGCCCGAAUUGAUAUAUCAAUUGAUUUAUUGGUUCAACUAAUUCGAUUAGUUGAUUUUAUUUGAUUUGAUUCAAAAACACUAAGUGUUAUUUCAAGUUUAACUUAAUUUAUAUUUGUGUUGAUAGUUUAAAUUAUUUUAAUUUUAAAUCAUUCAAAUUCAACACUUAAUUUUUUGGGUCAGAUCGUUUUAGGACUAUUUCAUAUUAUAAUUUUAUAAAAAGGAAGUUGAACUGAAUAAUAUUUAAGUUUUUGAGUUGAAAUUCAAAUCAAUGUUAUUAAAUUGGGUCAUAAUUAAUAGGUGUACUAGAAUCUAAUUACAAAUAUAUAUCUAUAAGAUAAAACCAAAAAUAAAGGAUUAACAUCUGACCAAGUAUUGACAAUGCAUUGUUAUCCACAAAUUUAAUUAGAUACAAAACAAGAUAAACACUGUAAUGUGAAUUUCGUAUGUUAACUUAACGGUUAGGAUAUUCAUCGCUUCAAAUGUGAUUUGGGAUUGAGUCACAUUAUCUCUAAUAUGUCCUCUACCAAAGAAAAUGGAGGACUAAAGUUUGAAAUCUUAUUUAGUAUUUACAGCCAUGAUCAAUUUCUCUUUAUGAUCUCCACCCAUACAAUAAAUGUGAAAAGUGUAGCAGUACGAAUACCAUGUUUUUAUAGGGGCCGCCAUUCAAGAAUAUAUUACUUCCUCUGAACCUGACACUAAGGCAUGGAUAGCAACUUACAAUGUAUCAAAUUAAACACUAAAAUUAAACUCAUAUAUCAAAUUGAGAUUUAAAAAAAAACACUCAAAUACAAAAUUUGACAUUAAAAUCAAACGCAAGUACCGAAAAAUAUAUUAAUCCAUAUUCAUAAACCUUUUUCUUUGUUUUUGCACCCGUCAAAAUUCCAAGACUUACAUAUCUCUAAUUAAGAGCAUCAUCAUUUACAAAAAUUAAAAAAUUAAUCCCUCUACUUUAAUUUGUUAUAAUUUGUCCCACGUAAGUUAUAACAACCGAAAAGUUAAUCUAAUUAAGUAAUAUUGUUAAACCUUAUCAUUGAAUUGUUUGUUUGGAAACCAGCAAUUUAACAACUUAUAUGCAACAAAUUAACAAAACUCAUUUGUUCAAGUUCAUGUUUUGAAUAACACCUGGACUAAAUUUCCAAUUUUCAUAUGCUACAAUGACUAAAUUUUGACAAAUUAAAGUAGAGGGACCAACUUCUCAAUUUUCAUAAAGUAGGGGAUGAAAAUCAUAAUUAGACCAUGUAUAUGUUCUAUCGUGUGAGUUGGGGCCUGUUUUAUAGUAUACUUCUACAGUAAGGACAGUCCCCACACGUUCUGAGCCAAGGAUCUAAGCAAGCAAAGUGAAACCUGUGCCCACACGGCAGCUGAGUAAGCACAUCUCCUUCUCCGAAGCUUUCAAGGCAUAUACUGCAAUCUCUUGAUUCCCUUGAUGUCUUCCUUUCAACAUUGAUGUCUUGGCUGCGGAAAAUUUCCAGCGGCAAACGGUCCAGAGCCUCCUGAGUAAGUCCAGGAGGCUUCUUGUUUGUUUCUCGUAACAAUUCGAAUCUUUCUGCUUCAGAGGUUAAUGGGGAACCCCUAGCUGCCAACCCUGUAGAGAGUUCACUUAUGAUCCUAAAAUCAUCGCGCGUUACAUGCUCCCGGUGGGAAGCAUUAGGUGGAGCUCUAUUGCUUCGCCUGAAGAAAACAACAGGAAGAAACCGUAAUGAGAGGGAAAAGAAAAGAUGUACAAAAUGUUUAAAUAGCGGUUAAUGCAGGACCUAACAUAUAUGUGUCCAUUAUUGAAUGCCACGUGCAAGUAAAAUUCAGGAUCGAGUGGUCCACAUGCUUCUCUCAAGCAGUAGAUGGUAGUUAGGAAACGAGUAACACUAAUUCGCUGUGUACAUGAAGUGGUACCAAAAGUGGUCUGGAUAGUCAUAGUGGCUAAUGAUGUUACUACUUAGAACCUAUGUUACUCAGAGUCAGGCAUGAGUUUCAGAUAUGGAUAUGUAUCCAGUACAGGUAUAAUUACUUUUUCUAAGUUUUUCCAUAUAUUUAAAAGAUCCUUGGAGGUCAUAUCCUCGUAUUUGUGUGUCAGACACGAGUGUCAAAUGAAGAGUCCGAGCAACAUAGCUUAGAACCACUAAUAUUACCAUAGAAUAGGAAGCACCAGCAGUGGGACUGGACCAUAUUGAUAGUUAGCAAUGCGAGAACAACAGGCACUAAUGGGCAGAAAGCACCAAUAACAGCAGUGGGCCUGGAAAUUAAGGUACUACUGGUAGGUAAGGAGUGACGAAAGCAAUAUCAGCUUGAAUGUAUAAGCAGAAGUGGGACAGAAAUUUCAAGCAUAAAAACAAAAAUUCAAUCUAUUCAAGAAUAUAUACAUAUAGAGCGAGAGAGAGACUAAAUUCAACUUAAACAUUUUCAAGGAAAAAAAGAAAAAGCCUGCCGAAAUAUGAUGAUUAUGUUAGGCAAUUCCAUAGAAGAAAGUUCAAAUUCACUAGUGACAACCCACCCAACUGACCAGCUGAAAAGUCCAUGGUAAGUUGGAAAAUAGUUUGGACCGAGUGAAAUUAGUCUCAACAUUAACUGGCUACAACCCCUAACAGCUCUACCAUAUGAUACGGUAUCUCUAUUCUUACUGCUAAACCAAGUCAGACUCCUAGUACCCCUAAUACAAGACUACAUAUUUAUCAUUUGGAUUCACUAAUAAUAAGGUAGCACAAUGAACUGCAAGGCACUGAUUCUUCCUACAGGUUACGAUGCAAAUUGCUCAUAUGAUAGACACUUCUUUUGAUCAUAUUGCACCCUCAAUAGAUCCACAAAAUCAAAGUUCAAGAGCAAAAUCAUUCUGAAUUUAGGUAAAACUUUCACAGACACAGAGCUCCACAUGACUUGUCUAUCCUAUCAUCAAACUUCAGAAAUAAGUAAUAGAGAAGAGAUGUGCUGUGCUGUGCUGUCUUUAAAAAAUGAAAUUUGUGACAGACCAAGAAUAGUGGGAUAAAUUUGGUCCAACUUGAGUAGCAAAACAAAUUGAGUGCCACAGGCAAGUUCACCAUCAAUGAUAAAAGUGGCUUCCAAUUGGUGUCAAAGAUCAUGCAGAUAAGAAAGAACAUGAUUCAAUAGCUAUUAUAAUUUACUUGUUCUUGCAGUUUGACCAGUAAUAAUGCUGUACAUAAUACAUGGACAAGAAAUGCAAAUACUAAAAGUUGCAAAUUUGCAGAGAGCUCUAGGUAACCUGUUUGCAGAAACAGACACGCCUCUUAGUCUUUCAACAAGCCUUGCUCUUGCAAGCAGCACAGCUCCAGGAAGCCUCUCAUUUGCUCUCAAACUUUGCCUGCUUGAACUGCUUACACCAUCUGCAUUUAAUCCAUAGCUCGAACUGAGCUCACCAGUACCUUCAUCAAACCCUUCUCUAGCAAGCCUCUCACUUGAUCUCAAACUUUGCCUUCUUGCAUUGCUUACACCGACUGCAUUUAACCCAUUGCUCGAUACAAGCUCGCUGGUACCUUCAUCAAACCGCACUGAUGAACGCUCCUGAAAAAGUAAUAUCCAAAUAUAAGCGAUUCAGGCAAGGAGAAAUAAAUUACAUAGACUAGGUAAUAAUAUCAAACUUCCUUGUUUAUUCUUGUAUAUGUGGCAAAAUCUUACUGCAAGUGAGCUUAGGCUUUGCUUGGUACCAAAGAUGGAAAGGAUGAACAUGGAAAAUUUGUUCAUCAAAUGUUAAGAUUCAUAUCCACCUUAUUACUUUGUAACUUAACCAUCAGAUAAACAAUUUUCCAAUUCACUCCUUUCCGUCGUUCAUAACAAGCAGAGCCUUAGGGUUUAGAAAAAUUGUCAAGAAAAUACCUAUUCUUCAGUAAUUUCACUGAUAAAUUUAGCUUAAAACUAAUAAUUUUCAGAGCAAAGUUCAGUAUUGAAGCAUAAAACAGACAACGAAUAAAGUACCAAUAAAUUGGUUGAAAAUCCAAUUCUUAAAUUAAAAAUAAAAAAAUAAAUAUAUUUUCCCUUCCAAAAAUAAUACUUAAUUCACCCCCAUUUUUCCUUUAAGUUCUCUUUUUUCUCAGCAAUAAAAUAAAAACAAAUACCUAACAAGAAAUAAAUAAUUUGAAAAAAAAAAGGUAAAAGAGAAAUUGAGCGCACAGAGAGCGAGGAAGCACGGGAGCUGAAGUGGCGCACGUGGGGAGACCGGCGGAGGGAAUCACCGCCGUCCAAAUCAUGCCUCUGAUUGUGAUGACUGAGAUGAUUCCGGCGAUGGUAAUUCCGUUCAAUUGAGGACCCAAUCCCUGAAUCCGGAUCGGGUCGACCCACUCUUGACCUUCGUGUGUAGAAUAACUCCGAAGCGCUUGUCAUCCAACUAAAACCCCCAAAUGGUGUUUUGAUCUGAUCUUACCAAUUAAAAUUUAUUUUUAAUUUCUCCAAAAAAAAUUUAAAUAAACAUGCAAAUUGUAAUUUGGAUUAAGAAAUAAAGGAAGAGAAGCUGAUGAACCCUACGAAGAAACGCGGGAGAAAUUCCUGCGAAUGAAAAUCGAUAGCCUUAGCUUCAAAGGAAAUGAAUGGAAAGGGAUGUGCGUUUUUUUAACCCUAAAUGGUUUAAUUCCGGUUUUAGUCCCCCUCCUAAGCUAAAAUGUAAUAUUUAAUCUUAUAUUUUAAUUUUAUAUACUUUCGUCUUUGAUAUUAAAGAAUAAUAUUUGAUACACCGCAAAUACAUUAUCAUCGAACAAUAACAUGAUACUUGAGUAUAAACAAAAUUAGUGAAAGAAUUAUCAAUAAAUAUUAACAAUUUUAUUUAGUUUUUUUUUUAUUUUUAAAUUUCACAUUUCGAAUUUUAGAUAUAUUUAAAUAAAAUUAUUAAUAUUUAUUUAUAAGUCAUUCAUUAUUUUUUAUUUCAUUAGCAUUGAGGUGUCGUGUUAUUAUUCAUUAAUGGUUGACGAUUUAUUUUUAUUAAUUUUUAUCAUUAUAACGAUGAUGUGAAAUCUUUUAUUGACAAUUUUGUUAUGGUCAAGGUAGCCAUAAUAUAUGUUUUUUAAUACAAAUUCUGGAUAAUAAUUAGUAAUAUUAAGAAAGUAAAAAAAUUAAAUCAUGUUAAAUUAAUCGAGGUUUAAGGGUGUAAAAGCUCUUCAAUUUUUUCAAAAAAGCAAUUAAGUCUUUACUUUUUUCACUCAAUUGAGUACUUUAACUUUUAAAAUGCAUAAAAAAGGACCUUCAAACUUUUUCAAAAAAAAUUAAGCCCCUACUUUUUUUUACACUCAAUUUGGCACUUGAACUUUCAAAAUAUAUAUAAAAAAAAACCUUCAAGCUUUUUCAAAAAAAGCAAUUAAGCCCAUACUUUUUUUUUACUCAGUUGAUUGGGUAAUUAAAUUGUCAAAAUGCAUAAAAAAUAACAUUUGAUUGUUAACUUUAACAGUUAACCGUUAAAAUUAACUGCCCCUAAUUUUUUUCAAUUAAAAUCAUCCCGUGUCACAACCACAACAUGACAUAUGACAAAACAAUUAUAAAAAAUAAAAAUCAAUACAAGUUAUAAAAAGUAUUAAACUUUAAUAAAAAUAUAAAAUUUAUUAAAAUUGUAAAAUUUUAUAAAAAUCAUAAAUAAUUAUAAAAUGUAUCAAAAAGGCCCUUUAACCAUCAAUUUUUACCGUUGACUGUUAAAGUUAACGACCCCCAAUUUUUUUCUAAUUAAAGUCAUCACGUAUCGUAAUACAGUGUGGCAUGUGGCAAAAAUGAUAAAAAAAAAUAAAGAACAAUUAAAGUUAUAGAAAAAUUAUAAAAUGCUUGUUUAAAAAUUAUAAAAUACUUCUUUUGGUACGAUAAUUUUUAUAUUUUUUUAUAAAUUUUAUAUUUCUUUACAUUUUUUUAUAAUUUUCUUACAAUUUUUAUAAUUGUUUAUGAUUUUUAUAAUUUUUUUUCUAAUUUUUAAUAUUUUUAUAUUUUUAUUAAAAUUUAAUGAUUUUUUAUAAAUUUUAUUUAUUUUUAAUUUUUAUCAUUGUUUUGCCACAUUUCACGCCAUGGUUGUGACACAAGAUAACUUUAACUGAAAAAAUUAGGGUCAGUUAACUUUAACGGUUUGAUUAUUAAAUUUAACAAUCAAAGGGUCUUUUUUUUAUGCCUUUUGGCAGUUCAAAUACCCAAUUUAGUGUAAAAAAAAUAAAGGUUUAAUUGAUUCUUUUUUUAAAAAAAAAGUUUGAGAGUCUUUUUUGUGCAUUUUGACAAUUCAAGUACCUAAUUGAGUAAAAAAAAAGAACAAGGGUUAAUUAAUUUUCUUGAAAAAAUCUUGAAGAUUUUUUACACCCUUAACCCAUUAAUCAACCAACUGUGUCAUUGAAAUUUGAUGAUUUGGGAAAAUAUCUUGUGAAUAUCAAUUAGAGAAAUUAAAUCUGAAUUUCAAUAUAUUAGAGGGACUAAACCCAGAAAUUUACCGUGAAAAAGAAAAGGUAUAUCUUUAUGUGUUAGUUGAAGGACUAGUAUUUAGAUGUAGCCACGCGUUAAACAAAGUGUUCCAUUACAUCAACAUAGAAUUUAUUUUCCUUCAAUAAGAUUUUUUGCGUUGACUGUUGACCAUGGAAAAACUAUAAAUCAAAUUAUUAAUUGAAAAUGAUAUAUAUUCCUUCAAUGAGAAUCUUUUUAUUACCUUAAGUCGAGAAUUUGAUUCUCACCUUGUAUAUGGAGUAGUUUUAGAACUCGUAACUUAAUAUCUACCUCUUAAUAGACCUACAGAAUAGAAAAGAUUAGUUACUAUCUAACUUCAAUAAAUACAUUGAAAAAUAAAAAAAAUCGAUAUUAAAUGAAAUAGACAUAAUAGAUUUCUAAAGUCAACUUUGGUCAAUAUAAAUAGAAAAACUAAAUGAAAUUUGGUUUAGGUAAAUUUUGGGUUCAGAUUAAAUUUAAAAUUUAGUUAAUUUUUAUUUAAGUUAAUUAAGUUUGAUUGUAAUUUUUGAAGGUUUGGUGAUUGGGAUUUAGAUUAUUUCGGGUUAUAAUUACUUUGAGUUUAAGACAUUUUAAGUUAUUUAUUCGGGUCAUGUCUAAUUAUUUAUUUGAAUUGUUUCAAGUUUGGAUUAAUUUGGGUCGAUUUCAUAUUUAGGUUAGACAAAUCAAUUUUCAAGAUAUGAACUAGAGUUGUCUAUAAGCCAAGUCACCUAGUCUGGCCCGAAGGCUCGUCGGCAAAUAGGAGGAUUUUAACAAAAAAAUAUAUGUCCAAAAAUGAGAUUGGACAAAAAAUAAGGCUCGUUUUAAAAAUGGGUCGAGCCUCGGGUAAGGUAUUUUUUUACCCUGGCCUGACCUAGAUUUUACAAUAAAAAAAUUGUUGUUUUGCUACCAUUUCACUAUUAUGUUGUUUCAAUUUGUUGAAAAAUAUUUAUUUUAAUAUUUUUUGUGUAUUAUAUUUUUAAUUUUUUUUUAUAUAAAAAAAUUAAUAGUGUCAGACCAUACCCGGGUUUUAGUAUUUUUAUCCAAGCCAGGCUUGGACAAAAAUUUAAGCUCAUUUUUUUGGGCCAAAUUGGGCCCAAAAAUUUAUCAGGACCAACCUAAUUCGACCAUGGACAAGUUUAUAAAAUAGCUAUUUAUAUAUAAAAAAAAAAUUGUCCAUGAGCUAUUUACUAUUUAGAGUAUUUAAAUAUGUCGAUUGAGAUUUAAUUCUUUUUAUUUUGAGAGGUGGAAUAAAAUAAUUCAAUUAAAGUGUAAUGAUGAUAUACCUAUAAUGCAUUAUAUGUCCCAUUCUUCUAUCUUUUUAGGGAGUCAAUGAUUAUUUAUAGCUAUUAUCUUUAUAUCAAAAAAACAAUUCGACUCAAUAAUUAACUACUUUUGCUAGAUUGAUUUUUGAUUAGAUUAAUAUGUUUUUAGUCAAUUUAAAUUUUAAAAAUUUUCAAAUUAUUUCAAUUUCGAUUAGUUUUAACUUUAGAUCAAUUCUUAUUCAAUUAUAUUUUAGACUCAGAAUUAAAUGGAUCGAAUUAUCAGAUUUAAUGAUUUGUAUGUAAAAUUUUAUUUAAAAUAUUUUAAAUACCACUCUAACACAAUUACAUAAUUCAUAGAUUAUAUAAUUUGAAAUUAUCAUUACACACCACCAUUGAUAAUUUCAGCUUGUAAGUCCUAAUAUUUUAUUCAAAUUUCAUAAAAACCCUUCCUUAUCUCCAUGACUAAUUUUGUUUGAUCAUCACAUAUUUGCAUGGGAAUAGUGGUCAUCAUGAACCGAAGACUCCGGUUUAUCAACACCGUCGACGCUUCGAACCCAGAAACUUGAACCGAAAGAAGCCGCCCGGUCCGGAACGUCAUCCAUCACCCAUUCAUGGCCUUUCGGGAAAUAUAUCCCACUCUUUGGAUGUGGAACCCAACUCGAUGAACUUUUUAUAUCGUCGUUACUCUUGCACUUCUUAUUGAUCUCCCGAUCUGCGCCUGCAAUUUUGCUCAAUGGUCGCUCAACGCGUUUUGCUUCCCUACACCCGAAUAAAGUUUCCAAAAGUCAAACAUAUUUAUUAAGUUCAUAAUGAUUUGCCUCUAAAUUUUGUACUUUUGUAUGGUUUUUUUUUGGUAAAAAUUUUAAUUUUUGGCUUUUCUAAAUACAAAACAAAUUUCAAAUUUCAUUUUUGACCAAACAAAAACAUCUCAAAAUCAUGGCUCAAACUUUAAAACGAUCCCUAAAUUUUAAAAUGUUCUAAUUGAAUCUUUAAAAAUAAAGUAUACCUAAAACACGUUUUAAAUAUGCUCUACAUCAAACAUAAACUAACAUUUAACACCCAGAUAGACAGCGAGAGUGACAAAAAAAACUUGGUUAAUACGAUACUAAUAUUUUUAGGACCCAAUUAAACCAUUUUAAAAUUUAAUGACUAAUUUAAAAUUCAUUCUAUAGAUUAAGAAAAUCUGUUGUAAUCAACCCAAAUAAUAACGACAACAUUACGUACCUUAGCAUCAAAAUCUUGGUUUUGGUAAAAGCAGCUCUUCCCAUGCAAUGCAGCUCUUUAAAACCCCUCAAAAAAGGACUCCAAUGCAAUUAUCUAGGACUUGAUCGUUUGUUUUAUAGAAUGCUUUCGAAAGUGCAGUUUUUGUACUUCAAAUUGUAUCCGAACGAAUGAAUAAAGGUUUGACGAAUAAGUUCGAUUGUGAAGGUCCUAAGAAAAUUAAAAUUUUAGAAUAUUAUAUUUCGGAAUUUCGUCUUUUUAUUUUAAGAAAUUUAAUCAUUUUAUAUUUUUCGGAUUUAAGUAUACAGGUCCAAUUAUUAUUAAAAGUGAUUCGACUAAAAAAUUAAAAAAUAUUUCGAAUUUCAAGUUAAUUGAAUUGAGUUAUUCGAUUUUUUCGAGUCAACUAGAAUAAGUAAUUCGAGUUCGAGUCGAGUUGAAUUUUACAAUUCGAAUAACAGAUUAAUGUGAAUACCCAUUUGAUCCCUGUCAAUUUUAAAAAUAGGUAAAUUUAUCUCUCAACAAAGUUUACAAAAAAAAAUCAAAAUAAUUUUCAAAAAAUUUUAAAUAUAAUUUUUAAAAUUCAGAAUAUUUAUAAAAUAUCAAAAUUGAUAUUUAAAAAAUUUAUAAAAAUUCUAAAUAUAAAAAAAAACUUAAUUUUUUUAAAAAUAAUAAUUUUUGGAAAAUUUAACUAUUUAAGUUUAUCAUACUAAAAUAUCUUCUUCUUUUUUUUCUUAUUAUGCUUUGAAAGAAUUUUCAAAUUUAUAUGUUCUAACAUUGAAUUAGUUAUAUUGUAACAAUAUUUUAAUUUGACAUUUUUUUUUAAUUUCACUUGAUUUGGAAAAUAUUCAAAUCGAGUUAGAAUGAUAAAAUGGGACUCGUCAACUCGAUUAACUCAAAAGUUUUUCACUUGAUUCGAUCGAAUGCUCACCCCAAACUAAUAUCAUAAAAAUUCUUUUGUUAAAUUUAGAUUCGUUACAAUAUUAAUUUUUUUAUUUUAUGACUAUCAAAUUUGUUUUUUUUUUCUUUUCAUUUCAAGGUGUCACAGUAAUGAAUUUAAUAGAAUAAUUUUAACAAUAUUAACAAUUAAUUUUUUUUUGACAUUUAAAAAAUAAAGAAACUAAAUUCUUAAAAAAAAAACCAAAUUUACGAAGAAUCAAAUUGGAAAAUAAAGAGAUAAAUAUAUAUUUUUUGGUGCUUAUGUUUAUCUUUGAUUUUAAUUUUGCUAUUUAUAUAUUUUUUUUUCAAAUUGGUACUUAUGUUGUUUUUAAAUUACACAAAAUGGUAUCAAAUUUAUUAUCUGACGUAUGGAAUGAUGAUGUCAUAAUAACAUUUGGGAAAUUAUAAAAAUUUAUAAAAAAUAUGUAUUAAAAAUUCAAAAUAUAAAAAAUUAUAAUGUUUGAUACCAAAUAAAAAUAACAUAAAAAUCAAUUUUUUUUAUAUAUUUUCAUAUUUUUAUAAAAAGAGUAUCAUUUUUUUAUGAAAAUAUAAAAUCAAUUAUUUUUAAUAAAAAUAACUUUUUUAUAAAUUUUAUUAAAAAUUUAUAUCAAAAUCAUGAAAAUAUUCAUCAAGUCACAAAAAAGAAUUACAAUUUCUUACCCGAAAUAUAUAUUUUAUAUUUCCAGAAUUUUUUAGAUUUUUUUUAUUUAAUUUUUGGAUAAUGACAUCAUCAUCAUCACAUAUUAAAUAAUUAUUGGACCACAAAAUAAAAGUUAGCAUCAUUUAACUUAGGUACCAUUCUGUGUAACAGUAGUCAAACGUGGGUACCAAUUUGAAAUAAAAAAAAGGACCAAAAUGAAUAUUAAGAUCAAAUACAUGUACUAAAGAAUAUAUUUAUUUUUUCAUUAAAAUAGUUUAAAUUAAAUUAUUAUUUUUUGAGAGAAGUCAAAAAUGAAAAUUUUCAUUUAAAAAGAAUUAAAAUAUUAAAUUUUAGGAGGGUCCAAGGAACCAAAGCCUCUAACUGCCGUUAGUUUGCCAUUGUCAUUAUCAAUUUACUCGCCCUGAGAGGAGUUUAGCGGCGAAGCUUGGGGAUAAUUUGUGGCCUUGACCCUCUUAAAUUUAAAUAAUUCAAUUUAAUCUCUUUCAGCCCAUUUAUUAAGGAGAGGUCAACUUCUUUAAGAAAAGUUUAUGAAGUAUGAUUCAUUAAAAGCUAGCGAACAUCCCAAUAAAUCGAUAUUAUUUCAAUUGAAUUUUUUAUCUCCCAAUUUUACGAAGAAUUAAUGGGUUCACAAAAUGAAUAUAUCUUAUUAGAUGUCUAAUAAGACAAAUCACAUACAUCGCAUCGCACUUGAUAUCAUAUACGACAUCGAAAAGCUAGUAUAUUACCACUUAAACUAAACACCUAUUUAUUAUGAAAUCUGUUGCUUCGAAUAAACGAGAAAUAACAAAUUUCUCCCGAAAAAAUCGGCCCCUAUCGUUUCCUCUUUUUCAAAAGUAAAUCUUAAUUCGCUCAGGUGAUUUGGAAUAUUGAGAUUUUUUUAGUGAAAAGAGUGGCAAGUUGGUGUGACACCUAAGGUCACUUUAACAUAUAGCUCUAAAUUCUAGAGACACUGUGAAUCGUUACUUCAGCAUAUGCCUCUUGUUUUUUUUCCUUCUUUCACCAGAAUAUAUUCAAUGCAAAGAACUUAUCUCUUACACAUUUGAUUGUUGGUUAAAUUCGAGUUUUAGUCCCUAUAUUAUACUUCCUUCCUGUUAUCGAUGUUAUACUUUAGUCUAAAUCCAUAAUAUCAACACAACUCCAAAUUCAUUAUAUCAUUUAAACAUUAAAAUUAUCUAUUUAACUUGUGAUUUAAAUAAAAAUUAAAUUAUGGUAUAACCACGAUGUGGAUAAAAAAUAAAAUUAUGUGUUAAUUAUAUUUGUAAAAGAAUGAAAUUUUAAUUAAAACGAUAAAGUUUAAAUUUACUUUAUAAUGCAAUGAUAUUUGAGUCAUUAUCCAAUUGAAUUAGUGCCUAAUAACUCGUAACACCAAUUUAAUUAAUUAUGCACAACAUUAAGUUUUAUUAUCUUUCUUUCUUUAAUAGAUUACAGUCAGUUACUUAAAAAAAUUACAGUUAAUUAUUAUUUUAUAAGGUAAACUAUCAAAAUAGUCAUUUUUGUUUCUCUCAUAUUACAUUUUGGUCACUUAUGUUUGAAAUGUUAAGUUUUAGUCACUUACAUUUAUCGUAUUAUAACAUUUUAGUCACCGAGCGUUUAUUGCCGUUAGCAAUAUAACAAUAAAGCUGAUGUGACACGUUAAAUCAUCAAUUCAAACGAAAAUUUUAAGUUAAAUUAUACAAUUGGUCCCUAUUUAUUUUGAGCAAUUUAUUUUUUUAUAUUCUUUGAAUUUUCUUUUUUCUUUUUUAUUUUCCGUUCUCUUCUGUUUCUCCCUCUAUUUUCUUCCAUUCCCUGUCUUUUUUAACGUAAAUUUUCUAUGUUUUUCAUUUCUUAAAAUUUAUCUAUUUUUUUUCUUUUAUGUACUUCUACGUUAAAAGAUAUGGAGAAGUGGUGAAAAUAGAGGGAGAAGUAG
rnacentral:lncRNA from 1 species